rnacentral:rRNA from 1 species
GACGAACGCUGGCGGCGUGCUUAACACAUGCAAGUCGAACGGUAAGGCCGAGCUUGCUCUGUGUCUCAGAGUCGAACGCGUGAGUAACACGUGAGCGACCCGUGCCUGAGACUGGGAUAAGCGCUCGAAAAGGCGUGUCUUACUGCAUAUAGGCUGCCCCGCCACAGUCAGGAGUUGGGAAGAUUUCGGCGGUUGGGGAUGGACCCGCGGCUUAUCAGCUUGUUGGUGGGGUAGUGGCUUACCAAGGCUUUGACGGGUAGCCGGCCUGAGAGGGUGACCGGCCACAUUGGGACUGAGAUACGGCCCAGACUCCUACGGGAGGCAGCAGUGGGGAAUAUUGCACAAUGGGCGGAAGCCUGAUGCAGCAACGCCGCGUGCGGGAUGACGGCCUUCGGGUUGUAAACCGCUUUCGCCUGUGACGAAGCGUGAGUGACGGUAAUGGGUAAAGAAGCACCGGCUAACUACGUG